CCGGGCCGCCAAAGUGGAACGUGUGAACUUAACCGCUGCGCCACCGGGCCGGCCCCUCCACUUAGCUACUUUUAAUCUUGUAAUUUUCAGCUGCUCCUGUUCUACCAACUACUAAAUUCAGAGGUUGUGUAUGUGCUGCAUUGUAUUAAGUAAUGUUACAGCAGAAUAACUGGAAAAGAGAGCUUUUGCUAAUCUAUUAUUAAAAUCAGACACAUUAGUCAUUAGUAUUUUGUAUUACUUAAAUGGCAAUCAGAAAUGAAGCUGAAUGUAUUUUUUAAUAUUACACAUUGCAGUAUGUUACUUCCCAAAGAAGACCAAAAGGUAUAUAAAUGAUCAUUGCAUUAUGGAAAAGGUGCCAUGUGAAUAUGAGAUUAUUUAGUACUGGGAUUUGCAGAUUGUUAAUUCCAUGAAGUAUUCCAUGCCUCUUACCAGCCUGAGGACUGAGAGGGCAGCAGCACAGAGAAGUGUGGCAGGUCCUCUUCGUUAGCAAAUAACUCGUCCAGUUAGUCCUCUCGGCCCUGACUCUCCUCUCAGUGCAGAGCUGUUUUAGAUGCUGCCCAAAUGCACUCUCUGAUUGUGUGGGGCUGGCUAUGUGAGGUGGGCCAGCAACACCGACAUCACCUAGGAGCGUGUUAGACGCCGGAGUCUCAGCCCCCAGGCUCACUGAAUCAGAGUCUGCAUUUUAGCAAGAGCCUCCAGGAACGUUACACCUUGAGAAGCACUGUCCUAAAGCUUUGGCCUGUGCUGCGGCACUUUCUCCUGAGCCUUCUUGUCUCAUCGCUAAUCAAGAUCCAUCUGAGUCCCCCACGUCGUUACUUCAGAUUUCACCAUUUAGUUUUUCUUUUUUGUUCACUUUUCUUAUUAUUGAAAUUUAAUUGAUGUAUAACCCUGUGUUUGUUUUAGGUGUACAACAUGAUGAUUUGGUGUAUGUAUAUACUGUGAAAUGAUCACUACAAUAAGUCGGGUUGACACCCAUCACCACACAUAGUUAUAAUCUCUCGUUUAGUUUUUUAAAAUCAAUCCACUGAGCAAAGUCUGGGUGCCCACUACAUGGCAGGCACUAUGCUAGGUGACAGGGGUGAAAAGAAAACAGAAUUAAGCAUCUUUAAAUUCUAGUGCAGGAGCCGGGUGGACAAACACAUCACGUGAUGAGGGGUAGGGUGAGCACCAGGAAGAGACGUAAAGGGACCAGAGAGAGCAAGUGAGGUUGUGUGCUCCUUCAGAGGGCAGUCCUGGCAGGGUAACGUGGGAACAGAGACCAAAGGAGGGAGGAAGGUGAAUCUGGAGGAGAACACUAGGGUGCUGAUAACGGACCGUGAGCAUAAAAACGUCAUCGGCGAUAAUUACACUCGUGUGGCCUAGCUCGCGUCACCUGUGUGCUGGAGGUGGGAGGAGUCUUUUCAUAUCGCCGGGGAAGAGCGGAGACCCAGGGAGGGAAGGGACCUGCCGUCUCCUAAGGUUACACUGUGGGUGGAAUUGGUCAAACCCCUUCUUGGGUCUGCAUCUUGUGGGUUUGUUUUGUGUUUAACUCGACUGUUCUGCCUUCUUUCUUCAGAGGUCCUUUCACCUCUGAAGAUGCGUAUAAAAAGCUUUAUUAGACCUCAUUUAAAAUCUUGGCUCCGGCACUGAAUAGCAGUCGAGUUCCUUCGUCUUCCUGACCCUGCAGUUUCCUCAUCUGUGAAGAGGUGCAGGUGGCACCCACCGUGGGACGGGGGCUCCUGACUGUUCGGAGGCGUCAACAGUGCCUGCUGGGUCAGUAUGUGACCGGUCCAGGGGGUGCGUGUGCACUGCGCAAGGCUCUCGUGGGGACGGAGACACCAGAGGAAUGACCAAGUCAGCAGGUCUCAACGCAGAGCAGUUUGGCCACCUAGGGGAUGAUAGGCCAUAUCUGGAGACAUUUUUGGUUGUCACAACUUGGGGUCAGGUUGUGUGCUACCGGCGUCUUAUAGGAAGAGACGAGGGAUGCUGCUAAACAUCCUGCAAUGCCUGGGACAGCCCCCCACGGCAAAGAAUUAUCCAUCCCAGGGUGUCAGUGGAGCUGAGGUGCAGAAAGUCUGCUCUGCACGGUGUGCCACUCUGGGGCUAGUCUGGGAACAGAUGGGGGAUCUUCUGGAAUACUUAAGAUAACCUGACAAUUACUACUUAAGAAACGAAUAUAGGGCUCAGGCGUGGUUAGAGAUGGGACAAUUUUUAGUGAGAAGCUUUCCUAGAAAAAACUCCUUGGGCCUACCUGAUUACAUUAUUUAAUUUUUAAGCUUGUUUUUAAGCAAAUUGCCCUUUUAUUCCUGAUCAUUGUGUCUGACAACCCUGUUGGUUAAGUGAAGAAACUUACUGCUUCUUAAAUUCUAAAUUAAAAUCACUGAUGGAAUAUCGAGGCAUUUGCAGGCUUCACUCAAAGCUCUGAUAAUUCUGUAUAUUCUGGAUAAUUUCCGGCUCACUAAUUAUGAUGAUAGAUUUAGGAUUAUUAUGUGGUAUUUAGAGUUUGAGAUCAGCCUAAUUUCUUUAAUGAGAAUAAAUCUAUUUGUGGCUAACUAAAGUUCCCUGUUUAUAUGAAUUGUAUGUUUAUAGCUAACAUUUAAAAAAUCCAUCAGUCAAGGCAGUGGUGCCUAAUCUCUCUUUUAUUCCAAGACUUUGUUUCUUCUCUUUAAGAAAGCAAGCUCCUCCCUUAAAGACAAGUCUUACUUUGUGUGCAUUAUCUGAGUGAUGCCUUUAUGGGCGUGCAGCCGUGGCAUGGGCUUGAGCAGCAGGUCAGCAGCAGCUCCUGAUCCAGGCGGAGGAGGGAGGAGGCGUGUCGUUAGGAGGAGUGGCUUAUUUGUGACUUGAAAUGUCAUCCGUUGGAAUGUCUGAUUUUGGAGCUGCAUAAACCAAAAGAAUGCCCGAUGGCUGUGUGCCCUGUCAUCCUGGGGCAGAGUGUGCACAGAGACAGAGCGUGCAGCCUGAAGACCCGAGGGCUGCUCAUGGAAGUGCCACAGGCUGCUGGUGGCGGUUGGACACGACCAUUUAUUGAGCAGCUACCUGGUGCCAGAGAUUUUGCAAACUUUGCCCCAUUUGAUUCUCCCGACAAGCCCGAAAGGCAGGGUAAUAUCAAUCUCAUUUCACAGACGAGCAAAUCGGGUUAGGACACUUCCACCAGAGAAACACCGGAAACGGUGGAGCAAGAAGGCAAACAUGGACUUGGCUUGACGCUUUCCACCACUCACGGUCAGCCUGGCGCCACGUUCCUGCGUGAUGGGAUAGAAAGGGCCCCAGCCUUUCCAGAGGCUGAUUCUUGAAGCACGUGCCGGCUCCAGAACUCGUGAGCCGUGUGACCCAAAGGAGACUGCGAAACCUUUCUAGAUCACUUCUGCCCACAGAUGUCAAAGUGCUGGCCUGCCUGGUUCUCAGGACUGCUGUGCCCAUCACCGCAGAGAACAGGAAGCUGCCCUGUGAUAGAUUUGCAGGAAAUACAGAAGGCAAGGGAGUCAAGAGAUUGGCAAGAAGGAUAUUACAACAGAUCACGGACUCUAAAUUGAAAAAGGAGGAAAGUGAGAAAAGCAGAGCGCCGGGGAACUGGGAGAGCGGAGGGAUCAACAGACUGGAGGCUCCAAGCUUUCCGAGAACAGGUGGAGUUGUUGGUCAUGCAAGUUCGAUGGAGAGAUGCUCAUGGAAGAGCUGCAUGCUGGGGUCGGUAAUUCCCCGGGUGGGGCUGACUUAGGUGAUGACAAGGUCAGCCUUUGAAUCUAUGCGGAUUUGUCUUCAGUACAGGCUGGCUUGCUAACUCCCGGAAUUCCAUAUAAUCUCAUGGUGGAUCUCAUCUAAGCAGGUUUGGUAACCAAAAGCCCGAGAGCUCGGGAUUGGGAGCCUAGAGACCCACCCACAGUUCCGGGCCUGUCGCACACUGGCUGCGGAACUACGGACCUUGAGGAGCUGAACUUUGCGGUCCCUUCCAUCUCCAGUCAUCUGAGUGGGUGUGACAGCAGCAGCAUCUGAGGCUGGGUGUCCUUAAGGUCCUGGGCUGACUGGACUUUCUGCAACUCUCUCCGCCUAACAAGCAUUUUCCUCUUUUAGUUUUGUGAGCGCUGUGUAGGAGAGCUCCUUCAGCAGAAACGAUAGAGGCUGUUGCUUUCAGAAUCCAAUGCGGUAUUGUGACCGGUAAAUUCCUAUGAAGCUCUGAACGUUUUAUUGACAUUUGUUCGGGAGAGAUUCCAGGAGGCAGAACUCGUGCCCUCCACCCCCCCCCCCCCCCCCCCCCCCCCCAUCCCCCCAUCGCUCUUCCCUCUCUAGGACAGAGAGAAUUAAGAACAAUCUAAGGUAAAUUUUUAACAAGAUGGUUUAGCUUGGGCCUUGUAGGUUUGCCUGAUGAAGUCAGUGGUAGCUUUUAGCUAAAAUAACCACACUGUUUGCACAAGUUGUCUGGGGUCAUUAGAAUGAUCGGACUGACUUACCUGCUGUUUGAACGGGUUGAGCCUCCGGAGGGACAGAAAACAAAAGGAGGGUGUUGAAAUGCAAACAGACAGCUCUGGGUUCCCGUUCCCAGCUGCAAAAUAAAGCUGAAGCUGACGUCAGCAUCUCCUCGGAGGCCUGUGGAAAAGCUCUGGGCAAACCUCGCAGGGCGCGUGUCUCCUCGUGGACUGGAGUCCAAGAUAAUCCUUACAAAACAUCUAUUCAUUCUACAAGGGAAAAUUUCGGGAGUGCUGGAUACUGACCUUGGCAAGAUGAAUGGACCCAGACUGAGCGAUGGGUUUGUGUGCGUUGCGGCCGACGUGCGUUCUGGCGCUUUGUCUGCCAGGUUAAGAAUAUUUUAGUAAUAGGAAAGGAGGAUUUAUGGCAUUUUAAUUAACACAAUGAAAGCUUAAACUUGCAGAUAAAACUAUUAGAUACAUUAUUUUCAGAGCUUAUUUUUUAAGACAAACUUGAUUUUGUUGCUUCAAGAAAGGACCUGCUGAUAAUUAAUGGUAACUUUCUUUUCUAUUUCAAUGUGACCACUUUAAUUGAUAUGCAAACAAUUACUUUUUAAGGGAAAUAAGGAGGCAGUGCAGCCUAGCGAAAAGGACACACUGUAUCAGAUUCUUCAUUGCUUAAUUAAAUUUGAGCUCUUAUUUGAUUUCUGCUAUGAACUGGCUGUGUGACUUUAGGUGCUUAUGAACUCUUCAAUUCGUUAAUGGAAAGAAAUGCCAUUUACACCGGAUGGCUACAUAGCGACCUUAUUCUGCUCAUUUUUAAGGUUGCAGAUGUUUGGGCCACAGUGGGAUACCCAUGUGGGUGGAUCGGCCACACGGGCUCAGCAUUCUUUUGCGUUUGACUGAUUUAGGGUCAGCGCAGCUCCAGCAUGUCUUGGAUGGGAGUGACAAAGAGAUUUGAAGGUAAACAUUUUCCCCUCACCUUAGUUCAUUUGAGUUAUGGCGGGAGUUAAGACAUCAGUCCUCAAAUGCUAAAGGGAGCGGCUCACGGGUGGGAGGCCUAGGAGCUGCCGUCUUCUUCUCUGGCCCGGAAGGAGACCGGGCUGAGCAUGCACAGGCCCACUGGGGCCCGGGGGUGCACAGUCAAGGGUGCAGCCUCCACCACAGAGGGCCUGUGAACAGGGAGCAGGAUCCCCCCCCGCCCGCCAGGUGUUUCAUUGUUACCCCAGCUCGCUCGAACCUAUUUCAUUAUCUUUACACUCUUAUGAAACGCUCUCAACAAGAGCUGCAGCAACAAAAAGAGAAGAAAGGAAGUCUGUAGUAAUACUCAGAGAGAGGCGGUGGGACAAAGCAUCUUGCGUUAUUCGCUGCUGCAAUGGGAGGAAAAAGUCUGAGCGAAGGGCGUUUCUUACCUUCUCCAUGGAUCCAGAGCUACAAGGUUAUUUGAAGGUCACAUUGGACGGGGUGAGGUCACGGUGAGAGCAUUGACUUCCUCCCCGAAAUCCUCUCCGUCUUUACACAGUCUCUUUCCGUGGCUUCGUGUUCAUGCAUGGAGAAUUGCGAAGUGUGUGAUAAGGUGUCCGGGCGGGGCAGAUGUGGGUCAGGUAGCUGCAUUUGAGGCUACCUCGGCAGCCCGUGAGCACCUUCCCAGGAAAUACUUUGUUGUAAGCAUACUAGUAGUAAUGAUCACAACUAUUAGCAGGAGAAAUUAUUUAUCUUUGUUUUUGUGUUCACACUUACUAUUGUCCUUGUUAUUUUUACAGGGUUUUGUAGCUGGAUGUUAAGUUCUCCCACUGUAAGACAAGAGCAUCACAAACACAAAGAUCAAUAGUCCACGGCCUCUCCAAAUCGUAGCUCUUUGCCAGGCGUGCAUGGGUCCUUGUCCUUGGGUGGAAUUCAGGGGUUUCGUGAACUCGGGUGGAGAAAAGACUACGUUUUCAGUAACCUCCAAGUGCAGGGUCGGUUUCCUUCAGAGGUGGAUGGCAGUGGGAAACCACAGCGGGGUUAGCUGUACCUGUGACCGUCACCAGGAAAUCACACGUAUUUUCAUAUCGUAUUACAGCUGUUUGCAGCUCUCUUGAAAUAUGGUGCAUACGUAUCACUACUUUGAAAUACUGGGAAUUAUUUGCCCUACCACUACAUCUUGUCAUUUAAGACAUCACUAAAAAGGCACGUGUGUCGUUACGUCAAACGUAUGUUUUAAUGGUUUGAAAACUGUACUUCACGACGUUUUCUGCACAUGCCUGUGUGUUUUACCUUGUUCUGAGAAGGCUUCACAAGGCUGCCACGGGGCAUUCAAAGUACAGAGAAAGGUUCAGAGCCCUUUUGGGUGUCCGGUCUCGUGGGGGAGACAGGAAGCCUAAACAGUGAAAAUCAGUAGGCUAGAAGCACUCCCAGGAGCUACAGGAACCCAAGCGGGGGAUCCAGCCCAGCUUCAGGGCGCCUUCUGGAAAUUCCUGAGCUGCCUCUGGAAAGAAGAGUGGAGAGGAGGAGAAAGAAGCAGGCGGUCAUCUCCAGGGAGGGAACAGAACAGUGCUGGGGUGAGACCCCCAGGCCCCUGUGGAAAUGAGGAGUACUGACUGUUAAGUGCUUGCUUCCUGUGCUGAGUCCUGUUGACUCAGGUGGUGGGUAAGCUCACUUUUUCGAACAAUUUUUAUGGGGCCAGGGUGGACAGGGUUAAACUUCCUUGAAAAAAUUCAAUGGUAUAGUAGAAUUUUGGAAAACAGCUUUAUUGAGGUAUAAAUUCAUGUACAAUAAGUGCACACAUGUGGUAAGUUUUGACAUAUGUGUGCCUUGAGCAAACAUCACAGGUAAUGAAUGAGGAUACGAACAUUUCUAUCACCCCUCCCCCAAAGUUCCCUGGGGCCCCCACCCCUCAGCCCCAGCAACUGCUCAUCUCCUGUCUGUCACAAUGCAUCAUCCACUUCUCUAGAAUUUCGUGUGAACGCCAUCAUGCGCCCUGUACUCUUUUUGGCUUCUUUCCGCCAAGGCGCUUGGGUUUCCUCCAUUCUGUUGAAAAUCCAGAGUUCAUUCCUUUUUAUUGCCCAGUAGUCUUUAUUAUGGAAUCGUGCACUUUGAAAAGGGGAAAAAAAAAUAAACCCUUGUUUUCAUAAUACAAAAUUUAAGGAGGGAGGGAGAUUCCCAGUGCUUAUCAAAUGGGAAUCUGGGUUAGAUGUGGAGAAAUGCUGCUCUGGAGUGUGGUCAGGGCGCAUUCCAGCCCCAGGUUUUCUUCUUCCGUCGAGGCCAAGUCUGGGUGCGUUUGGAAAUCUUCUCGACCUGAAGGCAGGCAGCUCCUCGGGACGCCCGGACAGCGCUGCGGCCACAGGCCCCUCUGCUGAGAAGAUUUGUGAAGCCUCUGCCUAAGGAAGUGUUCCAGAAGCGUUCUCUGUGUCAUCUGUUUCCCUCACAACCUCCCCGUUUGGUAGAUAAGGGGCAAGAGUUAUUUUCCAUGUUGCAUAAAUAGGAAAUGAGGUACGACGAGUCCGAGGGAAUUAGUACUCAAGAGAGCAGUGAGUCACGUGACAUGGAGGACCGCACACGGCCUCGCUCAUCCCCAACCCCAGCCUCGCUGGUCGGCUGGGCUCACAGUUUUAAAGAAAAUACAAUAAAUCCACUUUCACUCUUGUUCUUGUGUGGGUUGUGAUAGAACCUUCAGACUAGAGGAGGUAAGGGUUUUCUUGUCAAAACUUGCCCUUUCCGCUUGGUAAACGCCAGCAUCUGUGCUGACUUCAUUCAGUUGAAUUCAACCACUGAGCAGACAGGACAAAAGGACCAAAUGAGAAUUAAAUGAAUUUUGGUGUUUCUUACCCUCUUUUGGGUCCAGAAAAAUGUAUGAAAUACAGAAGAUCAAAAGGAAGAAAAUAAAAAUCCAGGAUAACCCUCCCACCCAGAGAUGACCUCUUUUGGGUCACGGAAGAUUUGAGAAUCUGGUGAAAGUUAUAGCUCCUCUCUCCCAGAAAAAUGCGCAUAUGAGCACGUACACACACAGUUUUGCAAUGAUUUCAGAGUGUUUAGAAACGUCCCUCUGCCACCCACCCCUGAAUCUUGGCCUCAGGAAUGACCUCCGGGUGAGUAUUUUGGCAUGAAAUGAAAUAACAGUGCCUUCAAGGAAGCACCCAGCCGUGGUUGCUGACCAGAAAGAGAAAUUAAAGAUAAGAUCCAGGUGGGUUCGGGGGGCCGGUGGACUGGUGGGAUGGGUGGUGUUUUGAUAGACAGGCCUGCCUCAUUGGGGGUGGGGUGUCAGCAUCUGGAAGAAGGUAUUCCCGGCAGAGGGAAUCGUCUGAGACAGGACGGAGAGCGGUGCGUAGAAAGCAAGCAAUCCCACAAGCCCAGUUUGGCUGGAGGAAGCCUGUGUGAGCAGGAAUCAUCAGAAACAAACCUGGAAAGAUAGGGCGGGUCCCAUCGUGAGGGACAGCGAAAACAAGGUGAGUACUCCUUCCCCCCCCCCCCAGUAAAAUGUUCCAUAAUUCCUUUCAUUUAUUUUUUCAACCAAGGGUUUUGGGGUGCAUAUAUGUGAAUAAUACGUAUUUAUUGCGAUAAAUUAAGGAAGUUACAAAAAUCAGGAAUUCUCCUAUAACACAGUCUGAUCUCUAGUAAUAGUUGGUACGUUUCGUCCGCGUUUGCGAACGUUUGCAUCACACUCCCAACUCUGACCCACCACAACUCACGGAACUCUUCUCUGUUUGUGUUCUUCCUGAUUAUUUAAGGCUCAAUGGGCAUUUUAUACAAAUAUUCUUCUUAAUUUUUAGGAGAUGAGUUCUUUCCUUAGCAUAGUAGGAUCGUGGAGGAGGAACUGUUGGUCAAUGUGUAGGAACUUCUUUAGGAGACUGAGUAGCUUGUGCUCAUCAGCAGCUUUCUGAUGGGGCGUCGACCUGCUAGCUUAUUUUCUUCCGUUAAUUUUACUUAUUACAUUCCUCUCGGUAUUCUUCGUCUGCUCCUUAGCCUGUUUCUCAAAUACUGGUACACCCCAGAGCCCACCCCUGCUGGGCCUUUUCUCACCGAAUACCUGCUCUUCCUGGUUCUCAUUCACAAUAAGCCAGCGGAGCUGAAUGCCUGUCAUGUACCAAGCACUGUGUUUAAUGUUAUCACGUGUAAUUUCGCCACAACCCUGUCAUGUAAUGGUUAAUAUCUUCCUUUCCCAGAUCUGGAGACUCAGAGAGGAAAGUCACUUUCCCAAGGGUACAGCCCAGAGGCUCCCAGGGCAUGCCUCUGCCGUCGCCUCACGCCUGCAUCUUCAGCUCCCUUCUCUGCAGAGCAGCACAUCCAUGACCCUGUGAACCUUUCCAUUUGGGGUUUCCAUAGAUGCCCAAACUCAAUAUGUCAAAACUCAGCUAUCAGCUCUUACCCCCAAGCCUCUCCCGCAUGACAUUAGCAGCUACUCCACCAAGCGCAGGACUUGGGGACAAGUGGAUGUGGCUUUGGGACCUGGUUUCUCCAAUCACCAGCUCUGAGACUUCAGGCAGGUCACGUAACUGGCCUAGAUAUCACUUUUCCCAUCUCCACAGAGCAGUCCGGGGUUUACACGUGAUCAGGUAUGUGAAUGCACGGAGCCCCUUGUCUCUCUGAGACGGCCUCCCUGGUCUAUUUCAUGAUCCUGCGUAUUUCCUCCAUACCAACCCGAAAUCACCUCCUUUGGUUCUCCUGCUUGGAACACGUGCUUCCUCAGGGCAGGGGCUCGGCCUGUUUUUCUUCACUGUUCGGUCCCCAGCAGCACUUAGCACAGUCCCUGCAAACAGUAGAGACUGAAGAAAUAUUUGGUCGUCUCCCUCCUUCCUCAUCUACUUGUCUCCUACUUUUCCUAGAGCUGUGGUUGGCAAAGGCACUCGGGUCAAAUCCAGCUGUCACCUGUUUUUAUACAGCUUGUGGACUAAGAAUGAUGUUGACAUUUUUAAACAGUUGAAAAAAUUAAAAGAAGAAGAAGAAGUCAUGACAUGUGCAAAGGAUACAAGCUUCACAUUUAUUUUUUAUUUUUUUGGAGGAAGAUUAGCCCUGAGCUAACAUCCGUGCCCAUCUUCCUCUACUUUAUAUGUGGGUCGCCUUCCACAGCAUGGCGUGCCAAGCAGUGCCGUGUCCACACCCGGGAUCUGAACCGGCAGACCCCAGGCCGCCGAAAUGGAACGUGCACACUUAACUGCUGCGCCACCGGGCCGGCCCCCAAGCUUCACAUUUCUGCGUACAAAUAUCAAGUUUUAUCGGAACGUAUCCGUUCAUUUACAUAUUUUCUUCAGCUGCUUUGAAACUCCACUGCAGAGUUGAGUUGUUGCGAUAGCGUCCGUAUGGUUGGCAAAGCCCAAAAUGUUUACUAUCUGGCUCUUUACACAAAAAGUUUGCCCAGCCCUGUCCUAAAGAAUGAGCAGAAGUUGCUUGAAUCCCGACAGCCUCUCUGCCUCCUUACCCUCGAUUAUUCACAUGCGCAUGUUUAACUCCUUCAUUUAAACAUUUACCUGUUCCACAAAUACUUAUUGAGCGCCCCACUUCUCCCACCAAAUGGGUGAUGGGGCUCAGCUCUGACUGUCCCCCGUAGUUGGUGGAGAUGUGUCCAGAGCCCCGGGGGGAUGUGGCCCCACUGGUGGUGACUGAAUUUGUGUUAGUCCAUCAGCGCUGUACCUCUCUGUUAAGCUGGCGUACGGUGGCUGUUGAACAGGAGGGAGCCGUGUGCAUCUCGUGGGGCUGGAAUCUGAGCCUCUGGCAUGGGCAGUGUUGACGCGAGUAGGCGGUCCUCCUAAAUGAAUCCUGUUCUUCCGUCAGUAGUUUCCAACCCUUUGCCGCUUGGGACUCCCCUCUUUCUCUGCUGAGCUCAGAAGCUCUGGUCUCUGAGUUCGCAUGUCUGUCUCCCCCGCCUCACAUUGUAAAUACAUCUAAAACAUCCGCAGACGGCCUUUUUCCUCUCCCGUGGUUUCCAUUUCCUGUCCUCUGUCCCAGCUGGUGAAACGACGUUAGCUAAGGAGGAGGCGCAGAGGAGUGAGAAGAAAUAGCAGUCAACAGUCAUUAAGCGCCAGGCCCCAGCAUUCCCAGGGCUUUGACGCGCGUUGUCACUUUUAACCUUUUCAUGGGGAUCUUUUCUUUAAGAGGUGGGUGCAUUUAUUGUUCUCCCACUUGACAGACGAAAAAACUGAGGCUCGGAGAGGUGAAGCCACUUGCCCAAGGUGACAUCACUGUAAAGUGGUGGAGUCUGAAUUUGAACACAGGUUCAAGCUCUUACGGACCAUGGUGACAGACCAAGCAUGUCGGCAUAUUCUAUGACAGGAAAGCUGCGUGGGCAGAAAAUGUGGGUCCUUUUUUUGGAACGGCAUUUUUGGUAACUCCCUUGGGUACAUUCCGGAGAGAAAGUGGGUAGUCACCGUCAGACAUGUGCCCUUCAUCUCAGACGAAUCGUCUUCUGCUCAAGGGACUUGAAAAUCCUAACAGGCCACAAACUAGACGAGAGAUAAAAAGACGGACAGGUGUGCUCUUGGCUGGCGUGGGGAUAGCAUUCCUCUAUAGAAUUCAAACAUCUUGACAACUCAGGAUGUUUCUGGACUCAACCAAUAACUGUCCAUGAUAUCAGGGGCCGUUCAUCGAGCAGAACCGACGAGGCCAGCCAUGCCCGGGGUGUCUGUGGAAUGUUAAUCAUGCUCCCGUCAAAAAGGAGUGGCCACAGAAGAGAGGGGCACAUGGAAUUACACCAAGUGAGGCAGGAUUCUGGACUGCAGACCUCAGAGACCCUCCUCGAGGGAGGAGGGUGCACAGCAGUGACCUGGGCCACGUGCCCAUGACCACCGUGUGGGCGGCCGCUCCAGGGACCUCGUGUGGGUAAUGGUACCUUCAGCCUUACAUUCUCCCCUUCCAUUUCAGUUGAAGUUCCCAACACUUCAGCGACUGCAGAAAAGUCUGUGUCUUGUGUCAACUCACCAGGCCUUCUAGGCUGGGAAGGGAAAAGGACGACACCACGUUUCCAGACUCUGGAAGGUCUUCCUUAGGAAAGGAUGUCGAAAUUAAUAAUGCAAAGUUACGUUGGUGUUUUUCUGAGAGGCUUUCGGUUAUCGAACUGCUACGUCUCAGGAAAAAUCAAAGUAAACUGGGAUCAUAUAAGCUUUCCUCACGUGUUAAUAUUUCGUAUGUUUUAGUUUGCUUGAUCCUUUGUAUAUUGCUCAAAUGUGGAGAGAGACCUCGGAAUAUAAAGCAUGCUGCAUCUAAAGUUUCAAAUGAUAUAUGCAGGACACACUCAGGUGACUAAGUGGUGGGAAUUGUCGCCUCGGACUCUGGUGAAGUCAAUAUGUGAAUAUGUGGAAUUUACUUGGAGUUUUCAGGAAAUAAGGAACACGUGUUCUCCCCGAAACGCGCCCUCCUGUUGACCAUUUCCAUCCAUCUCCUGAUUCCCUCCUUGUCCCUUCCUGUUUGGGAAGCUGUGGAGAGGGACGUGACCUUGCUGAGCAGCCAGCCUUUGCUCAGGGUGGAUAGGGCACCUGAAAGGAGACUCUGUGACUCCAGCUCCAAGACUGCAUGAGCCUGGAGCUGCCGUGACCAUUUAUUCUCUGACGUUCUCCUAUCUGACAACAAACCCAACAUGGGAGCAGGGCCAAGAGAUGAAGGGGCGGGAGAAUGUGCCUGACAGGCAUCAGCUAAGCCUCGGUUCACUCCUCGGACUUCUCUGCUGUGGGCAACAAUACAUUCUCUGUUUGCUGAAAUGAUUUUGCAUUGGAUUUUUGUCACUUAUGAGAAGGAGGUGGCGUAUCUUUCCAGGCACAGGUCCUACGCCAACUCCUUCAUGUUCUUCCUUGGCUCAAGUGGCCAGCCGCCUCUUUUCUCCCCUGGCUCUUUAUCUGCACAGUUUGACGCUGCCUGGGGUGUGCUAUUUGUGCACAUACUUCAUCCUGCUGGAAGGUGAGGGCCCGCAGGAGGACAGAGCCCUGGAGGGUCAAGACCAGAAGACACGGUAUUCAUCAGGGAGAGAGUGGGUGGUGAGGCACUGAGCACCGAUUGCUUUUUUGUGAAAGGAGGCAGGAGGGAGAGGAAAGGCUGGCUGGACAAGGGGGAGGGUACCAGACUCAAGGGUCCCUCAAGAGGACUCAAGAAAGCUCAAGAAGAAAAUAAUUCAGCCCCGGAUAUGAAGAAACUGAGGCACAGAGAAGUUAUGUCACCUGCCUUUGGUCACGCAGUAAGGGGCAGAACUGGAAUUCAAAACUGGGAAAUCUGGCCUGUGAGUCCAUGACUGAUGUAAAGCCUGGCGUGAAGCAUUGCUUUGUGGCGAUGGGCGUCUGGUCCUAAAAUCUUCAAUCUGCCUGGCACAGAAGGCUGGACUCGGGCGCCGGGAACGACCUUGGAGACGCGCCCCAAAUAUCCUUCUCAACAAGCCUGGGUCUGAAACAAGACUCUGAGCUCCUUCAUGAGAGGUGCUGUAUCCCACCCAAGUCCGACUUCCCGGCAGCUGGUGCAGUGGCUGACUUACACUGGAGCGCUCCGUAUAUGACGGGUCUCGUUCCGAAGUUCCCUGCCGCUUCCAUGAAUGCUGAAUUGGAAAUGUGCAAGAAUUUGCAUCUGUGUCUCGUCCCCUGAAGUCCGUGGCCUGCGUAUGUUAGGGCCAGGCACCAUGGAUAUAAGAGUGAUGAAACACAGACCUUGACCUCUCGGACUUGGAUGAGGAAGACGGGCUUAAAUAACCACGUUUCCCGGUGGAGGCGCAGAGCUUGGUGGAAGAGGUGGUUUCUUGGUUCAACCUCUUCAGAAGAUGGAGGGGAGACCUCCUCCAACUGGUGAAAAUGGUGCCAUUGGCAUCGAAGGCAAGGAAUGAGUUACUGACUGGAUGGACCCCGUUCUGGGUUUGCACCAAUGGUCACCACUUGGAAAUGACAGGAACCUGACAAAUAUAGAGCAGUCUUCAUGUAGCCAAAUGAACCAACCAUGCUUCUGGGAGGAGGCACCGCGACCCCAGUGGUCAUGAAAUGGGAGGAGGUUGGUGUGUUUGAGGAACGAGGCCGGUUUAGCUGGAGCAGCGAGAGAAGAGUGGAGUCCGACAAGCUUGGAGGGGUCGGCUGCAGCCAGGUCCAGCUGUGCCUCUGUCUGCCUGUCUCUAUUUCUCCAUCCAUCCCUUUAUUUAUAUACUUUCCCUGUGAAAAAUCAUUCGGCACAACUUGUAAAAACACGCAUAACAGGAUUACACAAAUAAACGAGAGAAGAGGGGGCAACUAGAAAAAUAAAAUAAAGCUGGGACAUUAGCAUGCAAAAUGCAUGUCUUGACCCAUACACUUGUGAGAAGGGGUCUGCAAAUCUAGUUCAGAGCUUCCUAGCAGUCACCACAAAGAGAGACAAGUGAUGAGUUAGAUGGUUCAUGGUGUCCAUGAGGCAAAAGCAAACUCUUUUCUUAGAAGAAAUGCUUGACUGUAUGCUGAGAGUUGAGAAAAACUUCACGGAGACUGUGGUGGUUUCGUGUGGUGUUGGCUUGGCUGAGCUGGACCUUCGAUUCCCAGAGUCCCCUUCCCUGUGUGGCUUUGGGAAGAACCGACUGAAAGAGAGAGAAAGUGGUGCGUGAUUUAGAAGGCGAAGUGAGCCAGCAGCCUUUGCUCUCUGUGGGUCGGCGGAGACGGCCAGCGUGAGGGACAGACAUGGAGCGACUGGCAGUUUCCAGCUGAUGCUUGCUCUCCUCCACUCGGCUUCUGGCUCUUCCGCCCUCCAGCCGGCCAUGCCCACAAGAGCAGGGGCAGGCCCAGCGCCAGGUGCAGGCAGCAGCCUUCUAAGAUUCUCCGCCAGCUCGUCUUCACGCCUGCCGGGAGCAGCUGUGUGCCUGGUUUCUAGAGGGCCCUGGAAGCCCCGACUGUCCACCUAUGCCAAAGCUUCAGGAGGGCUGGUUAGUGACACUUCUAAGAUCUUUCACCACUCACCCCACCCGUGCGAUGUGUGUGCCCUGCAAUAAAUCCUUAGUCCACGACACUCAUCGUGGCUCUGCUUCCUGAUCAAACGCUGACUGAGACGGAGUCUUAUAAGGGGACCUGGUAAGACACAAGGGAAGUCAUCCCCGCAAAUAUCCCACAGACAGUAUGGUAGCUGGGAAUCUCGCUCAGAGAGCUGAGGACGUAACCGGACCUGGGUUGGCUCCUGGGAUGAGGGGCCGUUGGGGGGGAGGACUGGUGGGGCUCACCGGCGGCUGCCAGUCCUCACGUGCGCCCCCAGGACUGCCAGGUCCCCCCUCAGAACCCACCAGCCACAUGAGGCCACUGGGCGCUUAAAAGGUACCUGUUGUAACUAGGAAACUGAUUUUUAAGUUUUAAUUAAUGAAAAUGAAAAUGAAAAAACCGGUAACUCGUGUCUCUUAUUGGAAAACCUUUAAGUACGGUUCGGAACGACUUGAGUAUGUGAGCCUACAUUUCCAACUUUAGAUUUUACGAAACCUAAAUACAUAGCCACUAUUUCCUACGAAAAUUUGCAGUUCAAAUCGAGAUAGGCUGUGAGCGUAAAAAAUAGACUGCGUUUUGAAGAUGUAGGAUGAAAAAAGGUCAUAAAAUGCUUCAUUAAUAAUUU